rnacentral:rRNA from 1 species
CGGACGGGGGAGUAAUGUCUGGGAAACGUGCCUGAUGGAGGGGGAUAACUACUGGAAACGGUAGCUAAUACCGCAUAACGUCGCAAGACCAAAGAGGGGGACCUUCGGGCCUCUUGCCAUCGGAUGUGCCCAGAUGGGAUUAGCUAGUAGGUGGGGUAAAGGCUCACCUAGGCGACGAUCCCUAGCUGGUCUGAGAGGAUGACCAGCCACACUGGAACUGAGACACGGUCCAG